UACGGGGGGGGCAAGCGUUGUUCGGAAUUACUGGGCGUAAAGGGCUCGUAGGUGGCCAACUAAGUCAGACGUGAAAUCCCUCGGCUUAACCGGGGAACUGCGUCUGAUACUGGAUGGCUUGAGUUCGGGAGAGGAUGCGGAAUUCCAGGUGUAGCGGUGAAAUUCGUAGAUAUGGGGCGGAACACCGGUGGCGAAGGCGGCCAUCUGGACGGAUACUGACGCUGAGACGCGAAAGCGUGGGUAGCAAACAGG
rnacentral:rRNA from 1 species